UCCAUGACUUUUCAGCGUGUUUGACCUCAGACGCAUCCUGACUACUUACUACGUCAAGGGGAUCAUAUACUAUGUAAUAGCCUCUAUCAAGCUGGAGGAGUGGCUGGCCAAUGAGACGAUGAGGGAGGGGCUGAAGGCCUGUGGAGAGAGGAACUACGUGGACCUGGACCCGACCUUUAACCCCA